rnacentral:rRNA from 1 species
GACGAACGCUGGCGGCGUGCUUAACACAUGCAAGUCGAACGAAGUGGCGACCGGGUGAGUAACGCGUAAGCAACCUGCCCUUCAGAGGGGGACAACAGUUGGAAACGACUGCUAAUACCGCAUACUGAAGGCGGGGAUUGCGUCGGAUUAGCUAGUUGGAGGGGUAACGGCCCACCAAGGCGAUGAGCAGUAGCCGGGCUGAGAGGAUGAACGGCCACAUUGGGACUGAGACACGGCCCAGACUACGAAGGGAGGCAGCAGUGGGGAAGCUUCCGAAAUGGACGAAAGUCUGACGGAGCAACGCCGCGUGAGUGAUGACGGCCUUCGGGUUGUAAAGCUCUGUUAAUCGGGACGCGGUACCGGAAUAGAAAGCCACGGCUAACUACGUGCCAGCAGCCGCGGUAAUUC